UACGUCUUAGUUUAGGAAGAAUUUUUGUUUUUGGUGCGAAGGGGAUUGGGCGUAA
rnacentral:tRNA from 1 species